UACAGAAGUGGCAAGCGUUGUUCGGAAUUACUGGGCGUAAAGGGCGCGUAGGCGGUCUUCUAAGUCUUGUGUGAAAUCCCUCGGCUCAACUGAGGAACUGCACGGGAUACUGGAAGACUUGAGUUCGGGAGAGGGAAGCGGAAUUCCGGGUGUAGCGGUGAAAUGCGUAGAUAUCCGGAGGAACACCGGUGGCGAAGGCGGCUUCCUGGACCGAUUACUGACGCUGAGGCGCGAAAGCUAGGGGAGCAAACGGG
rnacentral:rRNA from 1 species